rnacentral:tRNA from 1 species
GUUUAUAUAGUUUAAUAAAAACAUUACAUUUUCAUUGUAAAAAUAAAAUAUUUUUUUUUGUAAAUU